ensembl:lncRNA
ACACAUGGUUUCUCUUCUUAACACUGUGCUCCCCUAAGAGAUGAAGUCUUUCUGGUUCCUAUUUCUCCUAUUCCACAGUUGAGGGCUUUUAUGCCUGGAAAUCCAGUGUGUGAAAGAAAUGGAAGCAAUGCAACACAUUUGAUUUUUAAAUGCUACGACAGGAGACAGUCCUCUGGCACUUGGAAAGUAAAUGUGGAAGUUCAAGAAGAGAAGAAAAGCUUUGAGAAACUGUGUGUUCCUUUCCAAGGCAUAUAAUUUUGUCACAUGGGCACUGUCCACUAAACCAGCCUGAACAGACGCAUCCUCUAUGCUGCUGCUGCUGCUGCUAAGUCACUUCAGUCGUGUCCGACUCUGUGAGACCCCAUGGACAGCAGCCCGCCAGUCUCCCCGGUCUCUGGGAUUCUCC